CCCAGAAAUUUAAUCUAUCUAUCUACUUACUUUCUCAUGUUCCAAACUCUAGUUUUCAUCAUUUGAAAUUUAUAACGAUGUUGGCAUCUAGAAGAUUCAAGGAUGAUGGUGCAGCAAUCGAUUGGUUUCAGAAUAUUCAAGGAUGAUGGUGCAGCAAAUGAUGGUCCUGUAGAGCAUGCAAAGGUUUUCUUAUGUAAAUCGAUUGGGAUCAUUUCGAGAACUCUGGUUUUAAUUGGAUAAUUUUUUUUUGGGGAAGUGAUUCAGUUUUUAAACUCUAUUAUAUGGAAUGGUGGAUAACACCGGUUUAAGGACGAACAAAAUUGGAUUAGAAGGUAGAAUUUAUAUUCAACCGAACUAAGGAGUUUGUGUUUCAGAAUUCUUGCGGAUUCAAGUCACUUAUUAGCAUAUAAGAACUAUGCUUAGCUAAUUGAAUGAUUUUUGAAGUCUUUUAUAUGGCAUCGUUGACAUGUCCGGAUAAAGAACGUAGGACAUUAGACAAUAAG